GUGAACCUGUACAUUGAUGAUUCCACCUGGGGGAGUGUUCAUUCUCUGAGAACACCCCCCUCUAGGUUGUACACCUCCUUUAAACAUUAGCCAGUGGAUAAGCCUAAUUACGGUUCUUUCCGCGAGUGGAACGCAGAGACUUCCGGCCAGCGCCACUUCCGCGGAAUGGAACGCAUGGUGUUCCGGUCGGUGGAACGCAAAAGACGCGUCUCCGGCAGUUGCCCUUCCAAAUCGUUAAAAUACACUCAUUUAAGUAGCCGUGCGUUAGCGAUAGCCACUGCCUGUCCUGUGAACCCUGUAACGUUUUUCCCAGUUGGUCUGAGUUAGUUAUCUGAGAGGUGAUCAGUUAAUGAGAGACUGGGUUUAUACUAAUCUCCUUAAUUGGCACUUCCUGUGGUUGAUCCUUAAAUAGUGCUCAGCUGAGGCUGAACUUUAUGCAGCUUCCAUUUGGCUCUGGACACUUGAGCAACUGAGUGUCUGACACAUGUACAGAGCCCACAAGCUGCCAUGAGCUAUUUCUACAUGUAACUAGGUGACUACGCCUUGCAGCUUCCCCUACGUUAUAGGCUUUUUAACUUCAUUAUGUGAUCAGGCAUGUUGCCAACUUUGAAGGCCAUUCCACACAUCUGAGUGAUCUGGCUUGCCGUCCAGGUGAUUUAAGUGCCAAUCUUGCUAAAGGUCCGCAUAAGGACCGAAACGUCGAUGAAAUACGGCAUCAACAGUGAACCCGAAUAAAAAUAUACUGAAUUUACAA